rnacentral:lncRNA from 1 species
GCUGUAGGUGACGCAGGAGACCUUGCGGCGGAGGGCGAUGGCGAUGACGAUGGGGUCCAAGGCGGUGCGGUGGUUGCAGACGUAGAGGUUGCCGGGGGAACCUGGGGAGGGGGGCGGAGGAGGGUUGCCUCGGAUAACAAGGUUGAUGCCCAGCAUCGGGUAGGUGUAGCGGACGAUGCGCUCUGGGAGGGGGAGGUUGAAGUAGACUCGGAAGAUAGAGAGUGCAAACCCAAAUGGAAGCCAGAGGUAGAUGAUGAGGGCCGUGAGUGGCGUGGGGGGUUGGACGAACCGACCAUCGUGGAAUAUUAUUGGGGUUUUCA